rnacentral:tRNA from 1 species
GGUGGCUCAGUGGUAGAGCACUUGCCUUGAAAGCCUGAGGUCCUGGGUUCGAUUCCUCAGCACCA